rnacentral:rRNA from 1 species
AGUGAACGCUGGCGGUAGGCCUAACACAUGCAAGUCGAACGGCAGCACAGUAAGAGCUUGCUCUUACGGGUGGCGAGUGGCGGACGGGUGAGGAAUACAUCGGAAUCUACUUUUUCGUGGGGGAUAACGUAGGGAAACUUACGCUAAUACCGCAUACGACCUACGGGUGAAAGCAGGGGAUCUUCGGACCUUGCGCGAUUGUAUGAGCCGAUGUCGGAUUAGCUAGUUGGCGGGGUAAAGGCCCACCAAGGCGACGAUCCGUAGCUGGUCUGAGAGGAUGAUCAGCCACACGGGAACUGAGACACGGUCCAGACUCCGGCGGGAGGCAGCAGUGGGGAAUAUUGGACAAUGGGCGCAAGCCUGAUCCAGCCAUACCGCGUGGGUGAAGAAGGCCUUCGGGUUGUAAAGCCCUUUUGUUGGGAAAGAAAAGCAGCAGGUUAAUACCCCGCUGUUCUGACGGUACCCAAAGAAUAAGCACCGGCUAACUUCGUG